GGGGUAUGUUUACAUUCACUUGGAGAACAUGCCAAACCAAAAAUCCAUUUCAUUAGGGGCAGAUGAAAUGGAACACUGAGUUAAUGGAAGUCUUUACAAGAAAUUUUGCGGAUACGAAGAAAGUGAUUGAAAAUAAGGUAGAGUAAAUUUUUAUUUCAAUUACUAUAAAACGUAGAACUUUGCGACUUUUACUUUUCAAAAAAACAUUUAGCGAGAUUUUCAUAAAAACAAAAAAGAAGGUUUACUCGUCUCCAUUUG
rnacentral:lncRNA from 1 species